UACGGAGGGUGCGAGCGUUAAUCGGAAUUACUGGGCGUAAAGCGUACGUAGGCGGUUUGUUAAGCUAGAUGUGAAAGCCCCGGGCUUAACCUGGGAAUAGCAUUUAGAACUGGCAGGCUAGAGUUUUGAAGAGGGUGGUAGAAUUUCCUGUGUAGCGGUGAAAUGCGUAGAUAUAGGAAGGAAUAUCGGUGGCGAAGGCGGCCACCUGGUCAAAAACUGACGCUGAGGAGCGAAAGCGUGGGGAGCAAACAGG
rnacentral:rRNA from 1 species